UACGAAGGGGACUAGCGUUGUUCGGAAUCACUGGGCGUAAAGCGCACGUAGGCGGAUAUGUCAGUCAGGGUGAAAUCCCGGGGCUCAACCUCGGAACUGCCUUUGAUACAGCAUGUCUUGAGUCCGAUAGAGGUGGGUGGAAUUCCUAGUGUAGAGGUGAAAUUCGUAGAUAUUAGGAAGAACACCCGUGGCGAAAGCGGCUCUCUGGGACGGUACUGACGCUGAGACGCGAAAGCGUGGGAGCGAACAGG
rnacentral:rRNA from 1 species